rnacentral:rRNA from 1 species
AGUCGAGCGGAAACGAGUUAUCUGAACCUUCGGGGAACGAUAACGGCGUCGAGCGGCGGACGGGUGAGUAAUGCCUAGGAAAUUGCCCUGAUGUGGGGGAUAACCAUUGGAAACGAUGGCUAAUACCGCAUAAUACCUACGGGUCAAAGAGGGGGACCUUCGGGCCUCUCGCGUCAGGAUAUGCCUAGGUGGGAUUAGCUAGUUGGUGAGGUAAUGGCUCACCAAGGCGACGAUCCCUAGCUGGUCUGAGAGGAUGAUCAGCCACACUGGAACUGAGACACGGUCCAGACUCCUACGGGAGGCAGCAGUGGGGAAUAUUGCACAAUGGGCGCAAGCCUGAUGCAGCCAUGCCGCGUGUGUGAAGAAGGCCUUCGGGUUGUAAAGCACUUUCAGUCGUGAGGAAGGUAGUGUAGUUAAUAGCUGCAUUAUUUGACGUUAGCGACAGAAGAAGCACCGGCUAACUCCGUGCCAGCAGCCGCGGUAAUACGGAGGGUGCGAGCGUUAAUCGGAAUUACUGGGCGUAAAGCGCAUGCAGGUGGUUUGUUAAGUCAGAUGUGAAAGCCCGGGGCUCAACCUCGGAAUAGCAUUUGAAACUGGCAGACUAGAGUACUGUAGAGGGGGGUAGAAAUUUCAGGUGUAGCGGUGAAAUGCGUAGAGAUCUGAAGGAAUACCGGUGGCGAAGGCGGCCCCCUGGACAGAUACUGACACUCAGAUGCGAAAGCGUGGGGAGCAAACAGGAUUAGAUACCCUGGUAGUCCACGCCGUAAACGAUGUCUACUUGGAGGUUGUGGCCUUGAGCCGUGGCUUUCGGAGCUAACGCGUUAAGUAGACCGCCUGGGGAGUACGGUCGCAAGAU